rnacentral:rRNA from 1 species
AUUGUAAACCUCUGUCUUCGGGGACGAAACAAAUGACGGUACUCGAGGAGGAAGCCACGGCUAACUACGUGCCAGCAGCCGCGGUAAUACGUAGGUGGCAAGCGUUGUCCGGAAUUACUGGGUGUAAAGGGAGCGCAGGCGGAACUGCAAGUUGGGUGUUUAAUCUACGGGCUCAACCCGUAUCAGCAUUCAAAACUGUGGUUCUUGAGUAAUGCAGAGGUAGGCGGAAUUCCCGGUGUAGCGGUGGAAUGCGUAGAUAUCGGGAGGAACACCAGUGGCGAAGGCGGCCUACUGGGCAUCAACUGACGCUGAGGCUCGAAAGCAUGGGUAGCAAACAGGAUUAGAUACCCUGGUAGUCCAUGCUGUAAACGAUGAUUACUAGGUGUGGGAAGAUUGACCCUUUCCGUGCCGCAGUUAACACAAUAAGUAAUCCACCUGGGGAGUACGACCGCAAGGUUGAAACUCAAAGGAAUUGACGGGGGCCCGCACAAGCAGUGGAGUAUGUGGUUUAAUUCGAAGCAACGCGAAGAACCUUACCAGGUCUUGACAUCCAACGACCGCCUAAGAGAUUAGGCUUUCCUUCGGGACGUUGAGACAGGUGGUGCAUGGUUGUCGUCAGCUCGUGUCGUGAGAUGUUGGGUUAAGUCCCGCAACGAGCGCAACCCUUGUCAUCAGUUGCUACGCAAGAGCACUCUGAUGAGACCGCCGGUGACAAACCGG